UAAUACCUAUUGCUGCACUGAUAAGCGCAUACAUAUCUAUAUUUUUGUCCCCUAAAAUUAGUCUUAUGGUUGUCUUCUAUGUGUUAUUUUAUAAUAUUUAUUGACUUUUAUUAAUAAGUGACUUAUUUAUGUCCAUAUUAUAUUUUAUUGAAUAAUUAGCUUAAAUAGUGUGCUAUUUUAUUAUAGGUAUUUUACAAGUUUACUUUGCUAAAGGAAGACAACAAGACUAAAAGAAAGAAGAGAAGAAAAGAAAAAAAAAUAAUAAUAAAAGUGAGCCCCCAACUCACGUGGGCUUUGUCACAUGAUGGAAACAACAAAGGCUUCUUCUUAUAUGUUGACUCAGCAAAACUAAAGAAACAAGAAGUUGUUUCUAUAGUCCUCAUUCCACGCAAGAGAUAACAAAAGGAGAUAUGUAUCUCCUCAAAUCUUCACGCUAUAAUUUGUUUAGCGGAUUUUCAGUUUGGAGAUUUUAUCUUUUUGAUUCUAUCUUCUACACAACUAGAUAUAAAUUCACCAUCUUUUGGAAGGAAAAAAACACGCACACAUACAAGAGAGUUCGUGAGAGUGAAGAAAAAAAUCGGGUUCGUCCAAGAUCGACAAGUUGAUAGGAAUUGAAGAAUUAUUGCGUUCGGAGGCGAAUUGAGGGUAGCGGCUAUAUCCAUUCGGGUGCAUGAGUUUGGAUACUACCACAAAACUUCAGCGGAUAAACCUGUUUAUUGAAACUCUAAACGAAGCUAGCCCAGAGAAAUUACUUUACAUCUUUCAAGACAGACCACGUGAAGACUCAGAGAUGGGUGAUGAAAGAACCUUGAAGGAAUUAGGAGCUCCUAAGCUAGAUGAUGAACCUCUCUGCAUUGUUUUUCCAACCUUGGAAAGACCUUUGAAGCUGAACUCAGGUUUUCUUAAUCUCCUUCCCAAAUUUUAUGGGAACGCAGGUGAAGAUCCUCAUAGACAUUUAAAAGAAUUUAUAGUUGUUUGUUCAACCAUGAAACCUGAAGGAAUUGAACAAAAUCAAGUAAGAUUGCAUGCUUUCCCAUUUUCCCUACAUGAUUUAGCUAAAGAUUGGUUAUAUACUAUGUCUUCUGGUUCCAUUACGACUUGGGACGCCUUACAAAAAGCUUUUCUGGAAAAAUUCUUUCCCGCCAGUCGUAUUGGAUCCAUAAGAAAGGAAAUAUGUGGAAUUAGACAACAUAAUUCGGAAACACUUUAUGAAUAUUGGGAAUGUUUUAAAAAAUUAUGUGCUUCCUGUCCACAACAUCAAAUAACUGAUCAACUGUUAAUUCAAUAUUUUUAUGAAGGAUUGUUGCCUAACGAUAGGGGUAUGAUUGAUGUUGCUAGUGGUGGCGCAUUAGUAGACAAGACACCAACUCAGGCUAGGAAUUUAAUUGCUAACAUGGCCCAAAACACUCAACAACAUAGCACUAGAAAUGAUGUUAAAAGGGUAAAUGAAAUUGACUUAAGUGGUGUUAAAUCUCAAUUGCAAGAAAAUGCUCAACAAAUUGCUACUUUGACCACUUUAGUGUCUAAAAUUGUUGUUGGUAAUGAGUCUAAAGCUAGAGUAUGUGGUAUAUGUUCUGAGUUUUCUCAUGCAACUGAUGCUUGUCCUACUUUAAAAACUGAAGAUGUUAAUGCUUUAGGAGGCUUUUCCAAUCAAAUAAAAUAUGAUCCUUAUUCACAGACUUAUAAUGAAGGUUGGAAAGAUCACCCAAAUCUUAGGUAUGGAACUAGACCACAGUUUUCACAAACUAAUCAACCUAGGCAAUUUGGUGUACAAAACCCUUCACCCCAAUCUUCAGGCCCAUCAUUAGAAGACUUAGUGAAGCAAUUAACUACUCAAAUAGGUCAAGUACACAACCAUGGAGUCGAGUAUCAAAAGAAAACUGAUAAUCACCUUCACCACAUAGAUACUCAAAUAGGACAAAUUUGUACUUCACUAAGUAACUUAGAAACUCAACUUUCAGGUAAACUACCAUCUCAGCCACUACCUAACCCAAAAGAGAAUGCCAAAGCCGUGACCCUUAGGAGUGGGAAAGAGUUGAGUGAACCUAAGGCAAAGAGUCGCGAGAUUGAAAGAGAGAUAGAGGUUAAACCUGACGAUGAACUUAAUAUAGGGGGAAAUGGAGAGAUUGAGAGUAGAAAAGACAAUGAAGGAAAGGGUAAGCUUAAUCCAGAAAUUGAUGUUUCUCAUUUUAAAGAUGUGCCUCCUUUCCCUUCCAGAUUUGCUAAAGCUAAGAAAGCUACUCUUGACAAUGAAAUUCUUGAGACUUUUAGGAAAGUUGAAGUCAAUAUUCCUUUACUUGAUGCUAUUAAACAGGUUCCCCGUUAUGCAAAGUUUCUUAAGGAACUUUGUACUAACAAAAGACAAUUUCAUCCUUCUGAAAAGGUAAGUAUGGGAGAGAAUAUUUCAGCUGUAAUUCAAAAGAAGCUUCCCCCUAAAUGUAAAGAUCCUGGCAUGUUUUCUAUUCCUUGCAAAAUUGGUAAUUCUAAAUUUGAAAGAUGCAUGCUAGAUUUAGGAGCUUCGAUUAAUGUGAUGCCCAAAUCUGUCUAUGAUACUUUAAAUGUGGGAUAUUUGUCUAAAACUGAUGUGGUUAUUCAGUUAGCUGAUAGGUCAAAUGCAUUUCCCAUUGGAGUGUUAGAAGAUGUACUGGUUCAAGUAAAUGAAUUAGUUUUUCCGGCUGAUUUUUAUGUUCUUGAUAUGGGUGAUAGAACCGAUAAUGUUCCUUUAUUGUUGGGAAGACCUUUCUUGAAAAUUCUAAGACUAAAAUUGAUGUUCAUCAGGGUAAUUUGACAUGGAAUUUGAUGGUGAAAUAAUUAAGUUCAAUAUAUUCGAUGCUAUGAGAUACCCAAAUGAUGUCAAUAAUGUUAGUUCUAUUGAUUCCUUUGAUGCUUUUGUUGGAUGGCUCAAGAAAUUUUUGAUCUGUGGUGUGAAAAAUUGUUUGAGACUGAUAAUUUUACUGAUAGCAAGGACACUGAAAUGCCUGUUUCUUUAGU